CAGCCAAGCCCGAGGAACCUCAG
rnacentral:piRNA from 1 species